rnacentral:rRNA from 1 species
UUAAGCGACUAAGCGUACACGGUGGAUGCCCUGGCAGUCAGAGGCGAUGAAGGACGUGCUAAUCUGCGAAAAGCGUCGGUAAGGUGAUAUGAACCGUUAUAACCGGCGAUGUCCGAAUGGGGAAACCCAGUGNUGUGAACUCGAAGAGUAGGGCGGGACACGUGGUAUCCUGUCUGAAUAUGGGGGGACCAUCCUCCAAGGCUAAAUACUCCUGACUGACCGAUAGUGAACCAGUACCGUGAGGGAAAGGCGAAAAGAACCCCGGCGAGGGGAGUGAAAAAGAACCUGAAACCGUGUACGUACAAGCAGUGGGAGCACCUUCGGGUGUGACUGCGUACCUUUUGUAUAAUGGGUCAGCGACUUAUAUUCUGUAGCAAGGUUAACCGUAUAGGGGAGCCGCAGGGAAACCGAGUCUUAACUGGGCGUUAAGUUGCAGGGUAUAGACCCGAAACCCGGUGAUCUAGCCAUGGGCAGGUUGAAGGUUGGGUAACACUAACUGGAGGACCGAACCGACUAAUGUUGAAAAAUUAGCGGAUGACUUGUGGCUGGGGGUGAAAGGCCAAUCAAACCGGGAGAUAGCUGGUUCUCCCCGAAAGCUAUUUAGGUAGCGCCUCGUGAACUCAUCUUCGGGGGUAGAGCACUGUUUCGGCUAGGGGGUCAUCCCGACUUACCAACCCGAUGCAAACUACGAAUACCGAAGAAUGUUAUCACGGGAGACACACGGCGGGUGCUAACGUCCGUCGUGAAGAGGGAAACAACCCAGACCGCCAGCUAAGGUCCCAAAGUCAUGGUUAAGUGGGAAACGAUGUGGGAAGGCACAGACAGCCAGGAUGUUGGCUUAGAAGCAGCCAUCAUUUAAAGAAAGCGUAAUAGCUCACUGGUCGAGUCGGCCUGCGCGGAAGAUGUAACGGGGCUAAACCAUGCACCGAAGCUGCGGCAGCGACACUAUGUGUUGUUGGGUAGGGGAGCGUUCUGUAAGCCUGCGAAGGUGUGCUGUGAGGCAUGCUGGAGGUAUCAGAAGUGCGAAUGCUGACAUAAGUAACGAUAAAGCGGGUGAAAAGCCCGCUCGCCGGAAGACCAAGGGUUCCUGUCCAACGUUAAUCGGGGCAGGGUGAGUCGACCCCUAAGGCGAGGCCGAAAGGCGUAGUCGAUGGGAAACAGGUUAAUAUUCCUGUACUUGGUGUUACUGCGAAGGGGGGACGGAGAAGGCUAUGUUAGCCGGGCGACGGUUGUCCCGGUUUAAGCAUGUAGGCUGAUUGUCCAGGCAAAUCCGGAUAAUCAAGGCUGAGGUGUGAUGACGAGGCACUACGGUGCUGAAGUAACAAAUGCCCUGCUUCCAGGAAAAGCCUCUAAGCAUCAGGUAACAUCAAAUCGUACCCCAAACCGACACAGGUGGUCAGGUAGAGAAUACCAAGGCGCUUGAGAGAACUCGGGUGAAGGAACUAGGCAAAAUGGUGCCGUAACUUCGGGAGAAGGCACGCUGGUGUGUAGGUGAAGUCCCUGCGGAUGGAGCUGAGACCAGUCGAAGAUACCAGCUGGCUGCAACUGUUUAUUAAAAACACAGCACUGUGCAAACACGAAAGUGGACGUAUACGGUGUGACGCCUGCCCGGUGCCGGAAGGUUAAUUGAUGGGGUUAUCCGUAAGGAGAAGCUCUUGAUCGAAGCCCCGGUAAACGGCGGCCGUAACUAUAACGGUCCUAAGGUAGCGAAAUUCCUUGUCGGGUAAGUUCCGACCUGCACGAAUGGCGUAAUGAUGGCCAGGCUGUCUCCACCCGAGACUCAGUGAAAUUGAACUCGCUGUGAAGAUGCAGUGUACCCGCGGCAAGACGGAAAGACCCCGUGAACCUUUACUAUAGCUUGACACUGAACAUUGAGCCUUGAUGUGUAGGAUAGGUGGGAGGCUUUGAAGCGUGGACGCCAGUCUGCGUGGAGCCAACCUUGAAAUACCACCCUUUAAUGUUUGAUGUUCUAACGUUGGCCCCUGACCGGGGUUGCGGACAGUGUCUGGUGGGUAGUUUGACUGGGGCGGUCUCCUCCCAAAGCGUAACGGAGGAGCACGAAGGUUAGCUAAUCCUGGUCGGACAUCAGGAGGUUAGUGCAAUGGCAUAAGCUAGCUUGACUGCGAGCGUGACGGCGCGAGCAGGUGCGAAAGCAGGUCAUAGUGAUCCGGUGGUUCUGAAUGGAAGGGCCAUCGCUCAACGGAUAAAAGGUACUCCGGGGAUAACAGGCUGAUACCGCCCAAGAGUUCAUAUCGACGGCGGUGUUUGGCACCUCGAUGUCGGCUCAUCACAUCCUGGGGCUGAAGUAGGUCCCAAGGGUAUGGCUGUUCGCCAUUUAAAGUGGUACGCGAGCUGGGUUUAGAACGUCGUGAGACAGUUCGGUCCCUAUCUGCCGUGGGCGCUGGAGAAUUGAGGGGGGCUGCUCCUAGUACGAGAGGACCGGAGUGGACGCAUCACUGGUGUUCGGGUUGUCAUGCCAAUGGCACUGCCCGGUAGCUAAAUGCGGAAGAGAUAAGUGCUGAAAGCAUCUAAGCACGAAACUUGCCCCGAGAUGAGUUCUCCCUGAGACUAUAAGUCUCCUGAAGGAACGUUAAAGACGAUGACGUUGAUAGGCCGGGUGUGUAAGCGCAGCGAUGCGUUGAGCUAACCGGUACUAAUGAACCGUGAGGCUUAACCUU